AUGCCCGCCGUGCUCAUAGUUAAGUCAGCUAAUUUUCCAAUAACCCCCUCAGCUGAAGCACACCUCCCACUUACCUACUCCCCGCCCGUCUCCCUCCCAAUCCCUAAUCACGGCCACCGCCUACAUCCGAACGACGGGCACGGCCGCGACUACAUAUGCAUCCACAGAGACAAUCACCAUUGUGGAAUUCAUUCGCCGUCACGGUCUCAGGCACCACGGGAUGCAACUCCGAACUCCCCAUCGACAGCAUGUAGGGAAGGAUUCAGGGCUGACAAGAGCAAGGAGAUUAAAGACCCAUCAAACCCAUCAAAGAAAAAUCGUAAGAAUACAACUACACGAUGUGGUUGUGAUGCACAUAUCUUUGUCAAGUUGUGUGGCGACAACAUGUACAAGAUACAAUCAUGGGUUGAGCACCAUAGUCAUGGCCUUGUAUCGCCUGAUAAACACCACUUGAUCAGAUCAAAUCGUAGAGUUAUUGAGUGGGCUAAAAAUACACUAUACACAUGUCACAAAGCAGUCAUGGGUACAUGCCAGGCAUACAGGCUCCUUCAAGUCAGUGAAGGUGGUUUUCCGUAUGUUGGAUGCAGCAAGAGGGACCUGCAAAAUUACUAUCGUGAUCUUAGGCUUAAAAUCAGGAGCGAUGAUGCUCAAAUGUUUGCCGCUCAGCUAUCUAGAAAGCAAGAAGUCAAUCCAGCUUUUUUCUAUGAUUUUGUUGUCGAUGACCAGGGGAACUUAAUGUAUGUGUUCUGGGCAGAUGCCAUGAGUAGGAAACACUACAGUCACUUCGGUGGUGGUGGUGUGGUAUCCUUUGAUUCUACGUACACCACUAAUCAAUAUGACAUGAUCUUUGCACCAUUUACAGGGGUCAAUCAUCACAUACAAAGUGUGUUUUUUGGUGCGACAUUCUUGGUAAAUGAGCAGACUGAGUCAUAUGUUUGGUUGUUUGACACCUUAGAGCAAUGGGAGGGGUAG
rnacentral:rRNA from 1 species